AACGAACGCUGGCGGCAUGCCUAACACAUGCAAGUCGAACGAAACCUUCGGACCUAGUGGCGCACGGGUGCGUAACGCGUGGGAAUCUGCCCUUGGGUACGGAAUAACUCAGAGAAAUUUGUGCUAAUACCGUAUAAUGUCUUCGGACCAAAGAUUUAUCGCCCUAGGAUGAGCCCGCGUAGGAUUAGCUAGUUGGUGGGGUAAAAGCCUACCAAGGCGACGAUCCUUAGCUGGUCUGAGAGGAUGAUCAGCCACACUGGGACUGAGACACGGCCCAGACUCCUACGGGAGGCAGCAGUGGGGAAUAUUGGACAAUGGGCGAAAGCCUGAUCCAGCAAUGCCGCGUGAGUGAUGAAGGCCCUAGGGUUGUAAAGCUCUUUUACCAGGGAUGAUAAUGACAGUACCUGGAGAAUAAGCUCCGGCUAACUCCGUG
rnacentral:rRNA from 1 species